GGCUCAGAAUGAACGUUGGCGGCGUGNAUUAGGCAUGCAAGUCGUACGAGAAGCUCCUGCUUGCAGGAGUGGAAAGUGGCGCAAGGGAGAGUAACGCGUGGAUAUUUACCCUCAGGACCGGGAUAGCUGCGGGAAACUGCAGGUAAUACCGGAUAACAUCUCCGGAUCAAAGGUGUGAUUCCGCCUGAGGAGAAGUCCGCGUCCUAUUAGCUUGUUGGUGGGGUAAAGGCCUACCAAGGCUGAGAUGGGUACCGGGUGUGAGAGCAUGGCCCGGCUCACUGGGACUGAGACACUGCCCAGACACCUACGGGUGGCUGCAGUCGAGAAUCUUCGGCAAUGGGCGCAAGCCUGACCGAGCGACGCCGCGUGCGGGAUGAAGGCCCUCGGGUUGUAAACCGCUGUCAGUUGGGAGGAAAUGCAUGGGGGUUCUCCCUCAUGUUUGACCGAUCUUCAGAGGAAGUACUGGCUAAGUUCGUGCCAGCAGCCGCGGUAACACGAACCGUACGAACGUUAUUCGGAAUCACUGGGCUUAAAGAGUGCGUAGGCGGCUUUACAGGUGGGGUGUGAAAUCCCCCGGCUCAACCGGGGAACGGCGCCCCAAACCGUAAGGCUUGAGGGAGAUAGAGGUGAGCGGAACUGAUGGUGGAGCGGUGAAAUGCGUCGAUAUCAUCAGGAACACCAGCGGCGAAGGCGGCUCACUGGGUCUUUUCUGACGCUGAGGCACGAAAGCUAGGGGAGCGAACGGGAUUAGAUACCCCGGUAGUCCUAGCUGUAAAC
rnacentral:rRNA from 1 species